UACGUAGGGUGCAAGCGUUGUCCGGAAUUAUUGGGCGUAAAGAGCUCGUAGGCGGUUUGUCGCGUCUGCUGUGAAAUCCCGAGGCUCAACCUCGGGUCUGCAGUGGGUACGGGCAGACUAGAGUGUGGUAGGGGAGAUUGGAAUUCCUGGUGUAGCGGUGGAAUGCGCAGAUAUCAGGAGGAACACCGAUGGCGAAGGCAGAUCUCUGGGCCAUUACUGACGCUGAGGAGCAAAAGCAUGGGGAGCGAACAGG
rnacentral:rRNA from 1 species